UNCAAUGAGUGUACACUAGGGAGCUUCCACC
rnacentral:piRNA from 1 species